AAAGCAUUGGUGAUCCAGCAGCACAGAGGAUUUCAGGAGAGGAGCCUGCUGAUCUUGUGGAGGUCAUAGAAUGAUAACUGCAUAGUGGUAAAAGUGAAGUCCUCAGCAGCACAGAGGAUUUUCAGAUGCUAUAAAGCUCACAUUGCUGUUGUUGAUGUCACUUAUAUUUAUGUUUUCCUCAGUUAAAUGCAGAAGAAUCCUCAGGAGACCUCCUGCCCAAAUCAGAGACAGAAACCCACGUAGGCAAUGCCACCACCCUGACCGAGCAGGAAAUCAUCAAGGAAACAGACAAUAACACCGGAUCCACCUCCUUCUUUGAGGCGUUUAUAUCAUCAGUAAGAAACUGGGAAAAGGCAGUACUUCCGCUGCUCUCCGGGUGGAACUAUGAAGAGCCCCGACUCCCAAGCUGGAAAUCUAAUGAGCCGCUGAUCCCCUAUGAUGAUUCCGAUGAGUCGAUGAUCCCUGAUUGGCUGUUUGGAGAGAGUAACUUAUUUUCAGACGAUUUCUUCUCCAUAGAAUAAGAUGC